AAUAAAUACAAUUUUACAUUGUUUUAUAUCCAACAUUUAACCAUUUCUCUUAUUUAAAAUUUUUUUAUGAUUAGUAUUUUUAUUGUUAUUUGAUUAUAAAACAUGAAUAGUACUUAAUGUGUGAUUUUUUUCUAUUUUUUCAUAAAUUUUUCAAAUAAGACGGAGAGUCAAACGUUGGACACGGAUACCCACGGCUAUAUUUAUU
rfam:Oryza glumipatula chromosome 1, whole genome shotgun sequence.